UNUGACUUGAGUGCAGAAGGGGGGAGUGGAAUUCCAUGUGUAGCGGUGAAAUGCGUAGAUAUAUGGAGGAACACCAGUGGCGAAAGCGGCUCUCUGGUCUGUCACUGACGCUGAGGCUCGAAAGCGUGGGUAGCGAACAGGAUUAGAUACCCUGGUAGUCCACGCCGUAAACGAUGAGUGCUAGAUGUUAGGCCCUUUCCGGGGCUUAGUGCCGGAGCUAACGCAAUAAGCACUCCGCCUGGGGAGUACGACCGCAAGGUUGAAACUCAAAGGAAUUGACGGGGGCCCGCACAAGCGGUGGAGCAUGUGGUUUAAUUCGAAGCAACGCGAAGAACCUUACCAGGUCUUGACAUCCCGAUGCUAUUCUUAGAGAUAGGAAGUUACUUCGGUACAUCGGAGACAGGUGGUGCAUGGUUGUCGUCAGCUCGUGUCGUGAGAUGUUGGGUUAAGUCCCGCAACGAGCGCAACCCUUAUUGUUAGUUGCCAUCAUUAAGUUGGGCACUCUAGCGAGACUGCCGGUAAUAAACCGGAGGAAGGUGGGGAUGACGUCAAAUCAUCAUGCCCCUUAUGACCUGGGCUACACACGUGCUACAAUGGUCGGUACAACGAGUUGCGAGCCGGUGACGGCAAGCUAAUCUCUGAAAGCCGAUCUCAGUUCGGAUUGGAGGCUGCAACUCGCCUCCAUGAAGUCGGAAUCGCUAGUAAUCGCGGAUCAGCACGCCGCGGUGAAUACGUUCCCGGGCCUUGUACACACCGCCCGUCACACCACGAGAGUUUGUAACACCCGAAGUCGGUGAGGUAACCUUUUA
rnacentral:rRNA from 1 species